rnacentral:other from 2 species
AUUUCUCUGAGAUGUUCGCAAGCGGGCCAGUCCCCUGAGCCGAUAUUUCAAACAAACAGAAUGUGACGCUCCACGACCGGUGAGCAUGCCCGGUCCGUCCGGGAAGCCUUAAGGUCGUGACGACACAUUCACCUUGAACCACGGGUUCAAGGGUUACAGCCUGCGGCGGCAUCUCGGAGAUUCC